ACUGCGGUGAUCAACUGGAGUCCUCGAAGAAGCAUCUGGGAAGAGGCGAAGCCCAAGGAGAUUGCCAACUUAACACACCGUCACUGCCUUGGCCUGGAAGCGGGAUGCCUCAGGACUCUGCACAGUAGCCUGGCAGGGGUCUGGCAGCAAUGAAAAGUAUUUCUUUGAAAAUGAGAAUUCCACCUCCCUGUACCGUUUUUCUUCAUGCCUCCUGUAUGAUCUUCCAUGCUGGAGAGCUGACCCUGGUGGAAUAUGGGAGCAAUGAUACCUUGGGCUCUGUGCGUACUGAAUUCAUGAACCCUCACCUCAUCAGCAUCCGUAUUAAUGAGUGGCAUCAGCAAGGAAUGGAAGAUAAUAAGAAAUUGGCUUAUCUUGUUGAUAUUAAGACUAUUGCCGUAGUGGAUCUGAUUGGUGGCUACAAUAUUGGUACCAUCAGCCAUGAGAGCCAUGUGGAUUGGCUGGAACUUAAUGAGACUGGGCACAAGCUCCUCUUCAGGGACCAGAAACUUCAUUUGCAUCUGUAUGAUAUUGAAAGCUGCUCUAAGACAAUGAUCCUCAACUUCUGUUCCUAUGUGCAGUGGGUUCCUGGAAGUGAUGUCCUGGUAGCUCAGAACAGAAACAACUUGUGCGUGUGGUACAAUAUUGAGGUGACCGAGAGGGUCACCAUGUUCUCUUCUUCAUCAGGCAGGCAAGCUCAGUGCCUCACUUUUGACCGACAAGAAGUUCACCAACUCACAGUGGAACUUGGGAAUGUGUCUCUACAUGUCUCCCGACUGCGUGAACCUGCGCUCACACCACUUGCAGGCAUGCGGCUUCUCACGCGUGUGCAUCAUGGCGUGGAGGCUCAGGCUGUGCGAGUACUGGAAGCUCUUGCCGCACUGGGUGCACGUGUAGGGCUUCUCCCCCGAGUGAGUCCUCUCGUGGCGCUUGAGAGUGUACAUGCAGGAGAAAGUCUUCGCGCACAGCGAGCCCGUGGGCACGUUGACAUUGGCCGCUGGCUUGCUACGGAUGCCGUCCUGCUCCCGGAAGUGGGUGCUCAGGUGGAUCUGCAGGUAUACAUCCUAUCUCUGAGGAGGUUAGCUUGGGAAGUUUAA
rnacentral:lncRNA from 1 species